rnacentral:lncRNA from 1 species
UUUUUACCAAAAGUUGUAUAGAAUGUUAAUAACAUAGCUCAUAUCUCUAAUACAGUAUGACCCAACGACUCACGUCAGUUCAGUUAACUCUCGGCACAUUCCACCUCAAAAAGAACACACCUCUCAACCUCAUAAUCUCUCAUCGACUGUACACAAAGAAGAAGAAAAGCCUCAACCCUGAACCCUCGGUAGUGUGUGGGUGUUGCUGUGCAGCGUGCAUCUGAAAAUUCCACACAUGUGUUUCUUGGUGUUCAAGACGACGACGAAGCCUUCGUGCCGUUCUGCUGCAUCCCCCAGCUUUAGCUCGCCGACUUGCCGUCCUCCUCCUCGUUCUCCUCGCCGCCAUCGCAGCUGUCUCCGACGGUCACCGACAUCCCCCGGCUCGACACGGUGAGCUGCAGCGGCCCCUGAGGCGAGCCGGACUGCGAGGAGCUGUGCUGCGAUGUGGUGUACUGGUCCGGCCGUGGCCACUGCCCGGCCGACGCCGACUGCUGCUGCUCGCUGUCGGAUGCCCGCCGUGUGUGCAGCCUGUAUUUCUGCACGGAGAUGUUAGGUAAUCCAAACAAAACCUAGUUUAGUUUUGGUAGUUUUACUAGGAGGUGGUCACGUAUGUGGUGCUAGUUGUGUUUGAGCCAGUUUAGGAUUAGUGAAAGGUGAUCAGCGUUGCCGUGGAAAGUAGAUUAGGUAAGUUAGGCGUGGUCUAGUAGUACUAGGCUAUGUCCAAUGCAUCUAGGAGUAUGAGUCCGGUUAGCAUUUGUAUGUGUUCAGUAUCUACAAGUAGAAUAGGAAAGCUUAUUCCGUGUCAGGUUCAAGUAGAAGUCCAGUUCAAGUAGAUUUGCAACAGGGGUAUUGCCUGUGCGUGUAUAUAAGCACAGGCGUGGCUUUGAGAUUAAUACCGAUUGAGAAAAUCAAAAAAGAAAUAAAGAAAGGGGAAAAGAGGGCACGACAAGGGCCUUUUGGCUAUCAGUUCUUUAUGCGCGUGUGUUCGUGCAGUUUGAUGUGAUCGAUCCUAGAGCGAAUUUCCUAUGCCACGUCAAAACCUUUGGCCAGAAGCAGUGGAGUAUAUUUAGGGAGAAAGUCGGGGCCACGGUAAAAAGAAUUACUCUCUUACAACGGAUUGGGGAUCGGCUCCUCUAACCGGUGUUAGAAAUGUCCUUAGAGCAUUACUAGUAGAACCCUCAAAUCCUCAAAUCCUCACUAGCGUUUUAAGGGUUCAAAAAUGAUUUUUUUUGUGCACUUUUACGGGUUGAAAAACAGGGGCAAAGAUCAGAACCCUCAAACCCAACCAUUAUAACGGAAUAUUCCCCAUGAACGGCGUUGUUGUUGCGCGCGGGAGGUCGACGGGGCGGCCGCCGGCAACGGAGGCGACUAGCAGCGGCGGUCGCGGGCGUGGACGCGGGAGUUGGGAGGAUUUUUCCCUCCCGCGCGAGUAUAACCACCAAAUGAGGGUUGGGUAGGUUUUGCUCCCCAACCCUUACUUUUGAGGAUUGGGAGAGGGUUUGAGGGUUGGACCUUUAAAAAAAUUUGAGGGUUUGAGGGUUAAGGGGUUCUAGCCUACGGCUUUUUUUCAACGAAAACUAUAAAAAAGCAGUUAUUUUUAAGGAUUUGAGGAUUUCAGGGCUUUACUAGUAAUGCUCUUACAUAUUAAUAUUAGUGUUGGAUGAAGAUCGAAGGCUCGGGUGCCACACGGAAAAUUGGCAGUGAGCUCCUCCUGGUGGAUGCCAUGGAGUGCACGCACGACAGAUCGUCACUCAAUUUUAACCAAAAGUUGUAUAGAAUGUUAAUAACAUAGCUCAUAUCUCUAAUACAGUAUGACCCAACGACUCACGUCAGUUCAGUUAACUCUCGGCACAUUCCACCUCAAAAAGAACACACCUCUAAUCUCUCAUCCACUGUACACAAAGAAGAAGAAAAGCCUCAACCCUGAACCCUCGGUAGUGUGUUGGUGUUGCUGUGCAGCGUGCCUCUGAAAAUUCCACACAUGUGCUUUUUGGUGUUCAA